rnacentral:lncRNA from 1 species
GUAUUUGUCCUUAACCUGGUAUGGUUUGACUUCUGUAAAGUCAAUUUCUUACUUUUUUCUUGACGAGUUUUUUCAGAGACAGUGGCCUGGGCUGGGUUUAGGACUUUGUUUGGCUUUUACGUGGGCGCAGGUUGUGCACUUGAGAGCUGCUUAAUCUGUUAGGCUUUGAAGACGGGGGAUCUUAAAAUGGCUCCGGAGGAGCUGAGGUAGCUUUGCUCUUUUUAAGUGGGUGGUAGACUGUAGGUGGCUGAUUAAAGUUUCUUUAAGAGUUCAGGGUGUGAAGAUUCUAGAGUCAGGAAGAAUCUACUAACUUUCCUGAUUUGUAUUGGCUCUGAGAUCUGAAGCCAGUUUUUUUGUUGUUGUUGAGUAUACGGGAUUGUCAGGCAGAUCUGGCUGUGGAAAGGAGACUGUGGGCAGCAAGUUUAGAGGCGUGACUGAAAGUCUUGCUGCGACCUGAGCUGCUGAAUCAGCUUUCUGGUUACUAUGGGCUACGGCCGUGUUUUCUUUUUGAUGUCCUUUGCAGUGGAUCACAGCUAGCUGCUGAGUUCCUCCCACUGAAGAAUCGGAGUAUAUUUCUCCAGCCCCUAAUGUUGGGUUUAGUCAUGUGUCUAGCUUUGGCCACUGGAAUAUUAAUCUGCAUGACCAAAAAUUUGGAAAGUGUGCAUUCAUUUGUGCUGUCUCACUCCUGCUAUCACCAUGAGAACAAGCCCAGGCCAGACUGCUGCUUCCAGCAGAAGAUAAGAGACACCAAGAGCAAAGUCGAGCUUCCCAGACAUGCUCAUGCUAGAUUAACCAAUCCUCAGCUGACCCAUAGAUCCAUGAAAAUAAACGAUUGUUGUAUUAAGCCACUGAGAUUUGGAGUGACUUGUUAUGCAGCAUUUUGUGACAACAACUAACUGAUACAAGGGUCACUGUCCUUUGUCUCUGUAGAUUUUAACCAAUUUUUAAUAGCUAGAUGGAGAUCUUCUAGUUGCCUUUACAUAUAAUGAAUAAGACUGUAGAGCUUUUUUGGCCUGACACUACCAGUAACCUACCCAGAAAUUCAGAAAUGCUUUCUUCUCCAACCCGCCCCAACCAACCUUUUAUUUUGUGGGGGGGUGGUGGGUGGUUCUCCCUCUUUGCCUAGACUAGAGUACAAGUGGUACAGUCAGAGCUCACUGUAACCUCAAAAUCCAGGGCUCAAGUGAUCUUCCCCUUCAGCCUCCUAUGUAGCUAAGGCUACAGACAUAUGCCCCCAUGCCUGGCUAAUUUUUUUAUUCUUUGCAGAGACAGGGUCUCACUAUAUUGCCCAAGUUGGUUUCAAACUCCUGGCCCCAAGCAGGCCUCCUGCCUCAUCCUCCUAAAGUGCUAGGAUUAUAGGCAUGAGCCACCACACCCAGCCUCUUCUUGUUUUUAAAUAGUAACCCUAUUUUAUUCUGACGAUGGGUUGCUAACUUUUUUUUUUUAAGAAAAAGUUGACCCAGCCCCAGGGAAUAAAUUGUGACUGUUCUAAACAGGGUUGGCAAACUAUAGACCAAGGGCCAAAUCUGGCCCUCUGACUGUUUGUAUAAAUUAAGUUUUACUGGAAUAAAACCAGGUCCAUUCAUUUAUGCAUUGCCUACAUAUGCUUUUAGGCUAUGAUAGCAGCACUGCAUCACUGCAACAGAGGUUAUCUAGAGCAAAUGCCUAAAAUAUUACCGUUUGCCUCUUUAUGGAAAAAGUUUGCCAUUCCCUAGUCUAAGGUUUAGAUUCUGAGCUUAUCAUUUUAGCCUACCCCCCCUUACCAGUGACUGGCUCAAAACAAGUCUGUGAUUCCAUUCUGACUGUUUUACUGAGGGAAUUCCCCCUUCUUCUCAUGCAGAGCUGAUGAGGGUAAGUUGUAUUAAUAGGACAUAUGCUCAGGUUUUCUGAAAAAUACUUUUAUCUAGAAAUGCAUAGGAAUAUGCUGGUGCCUGAAUGUACCAUCUGGGGGCCUGGAGAUUGACUCACACUGCCUCCAGAGCUAGUGCUCACACUUACUACUGAGAGGCCUGAGGAAACACCUGCCUACCCACCACCAGAACCUGCACACAUCACCUGGAGAACUAGAGAUCAGACUGCCACACACACCACCCAGGAGCCCAGUGGUGCACCUGCCCACCUGGUCCAGUGCUGCCACUGCCAGCAACCAAAGAAGCCACCUGGAGGCCCAGGGUUUGGCCCACGCAGACAGCCUAUCAUCAGUGCCCAUAUACACUGCACAUGGUCCCUAGUAUUGACAAACCUGGUCCACCACCACUACCACUGAUGCUGAAGGACAAGACUUCCUGGCAUCCCCAUCCUCAGCAAAGCCUCAUCACAGCCUCUAAUGACAACUGCUGUGUGGCCGGACAUGGUGACUCAGACCUGUAAUCCCAGCACUUUGAGAGGCCGACAUGGGUAGAUCACGAGAUCAGGAGUUUGAGACCAGCCUGACCAACAUGGUGAAACCCCGUCUCUACUAAAAAUACAAAAAUUAGCUGGGCAUGGUUGCACGUGCCUGAAGUCCCAGCUACUCAGGAGGCUGAGGUAGGAGAAUCACUUGAACCUGGGAGGCAGAGGUUGCAGUGAGCUGAGAUUGUGUCACUGCACUCCAACCUGGUGACAGAGCUAGACUCCAUCUCAACCACAAAAACAACAACAACAACAAAAACCCACUACAGUCUAAGCCACUGAAUGACUCACAGACAUCACUCAUGCCAAUUACAGCUGAAGAAAUCAUAUGCAGACUAUACCACUACACACCCAGAAUCAAAGCCAAAGUGUGAUAUCCAAUGAGCAUUGUAGAUAUAGCUAUAAGAAAAGGUCUUUCCCAUAUAAAAGCCAAUCCAUAAAAUUGGAAGAAGUGACUGUUAUGUCAGAGGCACAGAUAGUCACAUAAGGAUGCAAGAAAUAUGAAAAAGGAAGCAUAACAUCUCCAAAGAAGCACAAUAAUUCUCCAGCAACAGAUUCCAAUGAAAAGAAAAUCUAUGAAAUGCCUGAAAAAAAUUCAGAAUAAUGUUAUUAAAGAAACUCAGGGAGAUACAAGAGAACACACAUAAUGAAUACAAAAAAAUCAGGAAAACAAUACAUAAUCUGAAUGAGAAAUUCAACAGAGAUAGGCAGCAUAACAAAGAACCAAACACAAACCCUGGAAGGAAUAAAUGAUUGAAAGAAAUGCAAAAGAUAAUUGACAGCUUUAACAAUAGAAUAGAUCAAGCAAAACAAAGAAUUUCUGAACCUGAAGAAUAGUCUUUUAAAAUAAUCCAGUCAGACAAAAAGAAAGAAAAAAGAAUGAAGCAAGGCUACAUGACAUAUGGGACACAUAUGUGACCAAAAACUGAAAUUCUGGGAGUUCUGGAUGGAGAUGAGAUGGGUAAAGGCAUAGAAAACCUAUUUAAUAAAAUAAUAACUGAAAACUUCCUGAAAGCUUCCAAAUACAGGAAGCUCAAAGAUUACCAAAUAAAUACAACUCAAAAAGGUCUUCUCCAAGGCACAUUAUGGUAAAAUUGUCGAAAGACAAAGAGAAAAUGCUGAAAACAGCAAGGGGAAAACAUCAAGUCAUUUAUAAGAGAAUCUCCAUCAGGCUGACAGGAUUUCUCAGCAGAAACCUUACAGGCUAGGAGAAAAGGAGAUGUAUACUACAAGUUAAAAAAAAAAAAAAAAAAAAAAAAAAAAAAGCCAAAAAUACUAUACCCAGCAAAGCUAUCCUUCACAAAUGAAGGAGCCUGGAACAGUGGCUCACAUCUGUAAUUCCAGAGACUCAGAAGGCUGAGGCAGGAGGAUCAUUUGAGCCCAGGAGUUCAAGGCUGCACUGAGCUAUGAUCACACCACUGUACUCCAGCCUGGGUGAAAGAGUGAGACUCCAUUGCUAAAAAAAUAAAUAAAUAAAUAAAAGGGAAAAAAGUAUUUCCCAGAUAAGCAAAAGACUGUUUGUUUGGGUCUUGUUUGUUGUGGUCCUACAAGAAAUGCUUAAGGGAGUCCUACAUUGGGAAGCAAAAGAACAAUAUCUACCAUCAUGAAAAUGUAUGAAAAUAUAAAACUCACUGGUAGAGCAGACACACAAAGAAGAAAGGAUUCAAACAACAUCACUAAAGAAAACCACCAAACUGCAACCAUAAAUAAUGAGAAAAAAAAGGAACAAAUAUGUAUUAGUCUGUUUUCACACUGCUGAUAAAGACAUACCUGACUGAGGCUGGGCAAUUUACAAGAGAAAGAGGUUUAAUGGACUUACACUUCCACAUAGCUGAGGAAGCCUCACAAUCACGUUGGAAGGCAAGAAGAAGCAAGUUAUGUCUCACAUGGAUGGCAGAAGGCAAAGAGAGAGCUUCUGCAGGGAAACUACCCUUUUUAAAAUCAUCAGACCUUGUGAGACGUAUUCACUAUCAUGAGAACAGCAUGGGAAAGACCUGCCCCAAUGAUGCAAUUACUUCCCACUAGGUCCCUCCCACAACAUGUGGGAAUUCAAGAUGACAUUUGGGUGUGGACACAACCAAACCAUAUCAUUCUGCCCUUGGCCCUUCCCAAAUCUCAUAUCCUCACAUUUCAAAACCAAUCAUGCCUUCCCAACUAUCCCCCAAAGUCUUAACUAAGUUCAGCAUUAACUCACAAGUCCACUGUCCAAAGUCUCAUGUGAGACAAGGCAAAUCCCUUCCACCUAUGAGCAUGGAAAAUCAAAAACAAGUUAGUUACUUCCUAGAUACAAUGAAGGUAUAGGCAUUGGGUAAACACAGUCAUUCCAAAUGGGAGAAAAUUGCCAAAACAAAGGAGCUACAGGCCCCAUGAAGCCCAAAAUCCAGUGGGGCAGUCAAAUCUCAAAGGUCCAAAAUGAUCUCUUUUGACUCCAUGUCUCACAUGCAGGUCAUGGUGAUGUAAGAGGUGGGCUCCCACGGCCUUGGGAGAAAAAAAGCCACAGCUCCACUCCUGUGGCUUUGUAGGGUAUAAAUCCCCUCCUGGCUCCUUUCAUGGGUUGGCAUUGAGUGUCUGCAGCUUUUCCAGGCACACAGUGCAAGCUGUCAGUGAAUCCACCAUUCUGGGGUCUGGAGGAUGGUGGCCCUUUUCUCACAUCUCCACUAGGUGGCGCUGCAGUAGGGACUCUAUGUGGAGGCUCUCACCCCACAUUUCCCUUCCGCACUACCCUAGUAGAAGUUCUCCAUGAGUGCCCUGCCCCUGCAGCAAACUCCUGCCUGGACAUCUAGGCAUUUCCAUACAUCUUCUGAUAUCUAUGCAGUGGUUCCCAAACCUCAAUUUUUGACUUCUGUGCACCCAUAGGCUCAACACUAUGUGGAAGCUGCUAAGGCUUGGGGCUUGCACCCUCUGAAGCCACAGCCCACGUUGUACCUUGGCUCCUUUUAGCUGCAGCUGGAGUGGCUAGGACUCAGGCACCCUAGGCUGCUCACAGCAGGGGUACCCUUGGUCCAGCCCACAAAACCAUCUGUUCUUCCUAGGCCUCUGGGCCUUUGAUGGGUGGGGCUGCCAUGAAGAUCUGUGACAUGCCCUGGAGACAUUUUCCCCAUUGUCUUAGGGAUUCACAUUUGACUCCUCGUUACUUACACAAACUUCUGCAGCCAGAUCAAAUUUUUCUUGAGAAAAUGGGAUUUUCUUUUCUAUUGCAUUGUCAGGCUGCAAAUUUUCCAAACUUUCAUGCUCUGCUUCCCGUAUAAAACUGAGGGCCUUUAACAGCACCCAAGUCAUCUCCUGAAUGCUUUGCUGCUUAGAAAUUUCUUCUACCAGACACCCUAAAUCAUCUCUCUCCCGUUCAAAAUUCUACAAAUCUCUACAGCAGGGGCAAAAUGCCACCAGUCUCUUUGCUAAAACAUAACAGGAGUCACCUUUGUGCCAGUUCCUGACAAGUUCCUCAUUUCCAUCUGAGACAACCUAAGCCUAGACUUUAUUGUCCAUAUAACCAUCAGCAUUUUGGGCAAGCCUCUAGGAAAUCUCUUCCAAAUUUUCCCACAUUUUCCUGUCUCCUUCUGAGCCCUCCAAACUGUUCCAACCUCUGCCUGUUUCCCAGUUCCAAAGUCACUUCCACAUAUUCAGUUAUCUUUUAGCAACACCCCACUCUGGUACUAAUUUACUGUAUUAGUCCAUUUUCACACAGCUGAUAAAGACACAUUCAAGACUGGGAAAUUUACAAAAGAAAGAGGUUUAAUGGACUUACAGUUCUACAUUGCUGGGGAGGCUUCAAAUCGUUGCGGAAGUCAAGGAGAGGCAAGUCACAUCUUACAAGGAUGGCAGCAGGCAAAGAGAGAGCUUGAGCAGGGAAACUCCUCCUUUUAAAACCAUCAGCUCUCAUGAGACUUAUUCACGAUCAAAAGAAUAGCAUGGGAAAUACCUGCCUCCAUGAUUCAACUACUUCCCACUGGGUCCCUCCCACAAAACAUGGGAAUUCAAGAUGAGAUCUGAGUGGGGACACAGCCAAACCAUAUCAAAAGGAUAUACAAAAUAACCAGAAAACAAUGAACAAAAUGACAGGAAUAAGUCCUCACCUAUCAAUAAUAACUUCAAAUAUGGGUUAAAUUACCUACCUAAAAGAUAGAGACAGGCUUAAUGGAUAAAAAAUGACCCAACAACGUCUGCAAGAAACUCACUUCACUUGUAAAGACACACAGACUGAAAGUGAAGGGAUUGAAAAAGAUAUACCACACAGACAGAAAUCAAAAGUAAUCAGGAGUAGCUAAACUUACAUCAGAUAAAACAGACUUUAAGUCAAAAACUGUAAAAAGGACAAAGAAGGUCAUUAUAUGGUAAUAAAGGGAUCAAUUCGGCAACAAAGUAUAACAAUUCUAAAUAUGCACACAACAAACACAAGCACAUCCAGACACACAUAGCAAAUAUUAUUAAAUCUACAGGAAGAGAUAGAGUCCAAUACAAUGAUAGUUGAGAACUUCAAUAUCCUACUUUCAGCAUUGGACAGUUCAUCUAGACAUAAAAUCAACAAAGAAACAUUAGAUUUAAGCUGCACUUUAGACCAAUGGACCUAACAGAUAUUUUCAGAAUAUUUCAUCCAGCAGCAGCAGAAUAUACAAUCAUCUCAUCAACACAUGGAACAUUCUCCAGGAUAGACCAUAUGUUAGGACACAAAACAAGGCUCAAUAAAAUUUUAAAAAUUAAAAUCAUAUCAAGUAUCUUCUCAGAACACAAUGGAAUAAAACUUGAAAUCAAUAAGACGAGGAAAUUUGGAAACUGUACAAAUACAUGGACAUUAAACAUGCUAUUGAAUGAUCAUUGGAUCAAUGAAGAAAUUAAGAUGGACAUCAAAAAUUUUUUUAAACAGAAAAUGGAAACACAUCAUGCAAAACCUAUGAGAUACAGCAAAAGCA